AAGGUGGGCUGGUGGAGAACACCAAGGCGUUCGAGAGAACCCAGGUUAAGGAACUCGGCAAAUUGACACCGUAACUUCGGGAUAAGGUGUGCCAGAGGUAGGUGAAGGGCUUGCGCCUGGAGCCGAUUCUGGUUGCAACAAAGCGGCGGUAGCGACUGUUUACUAAAAACACAGGGCUCUGCGAAACCGUAAGGUGACGUAUAGGGCCUGACGCCUGCCCGGUGCCGGAAGGUUAAGGGGAGUUGUCAGCGCAAGCGAAGCGACGAACUGAAGCCCCGGUAAACGGCGGCCGUAACUAUAACGGUCCUAAGGUAGCGAAAUUCCUUGUCGGGUAAGUUCCGACCUGCACGAUGGCGUAACGACUUCCGCGCUGUCUCGACCUGGGACUCGGCGAAAUCGACAUGGGGGUGAAGAUGCCCUCUACCCGCGGCAAGACGGAAAGACCCUGUGAACCUUUACUGUAGCUUGGCAGUGGUAUUCGGUUCAUUCUGUGUAGGAUAGGUGGGAGCCUAUGAGUCGGGCACGCUAGUGUCCGAGGAGGCACCGUUGAAAUACCACCCUGGAUGUGCUGGAUACCUAACCCCUUCGGGGGGACACUGCCUGGUAGGCAAUUUGACUGGGGCGGUCGCCUCCUAAAGAGUAACGGAGGCGCGCAAAGGUUCCCUCAGCCAGAUCGGAAACCUGGCGAAGAGUGUAAUCGUAUAAGGGAGCUUGACUGCAAGACCGACAGGUCAAGCAGGUGCGAAAGCAGGCGAUAGUGAUCCGGUGGUUCCACGUGGACGGGCCAUCGCUCAUCGAAUAAAAGGUACUCCGGGGAUAACAGGCUUAUCGCGCCCAAGAGUUCAUAUCGACGGCGCGGUUUGGCACCUCGAUGUCGGCUCAUCGCAUCCUGGGGCUGGAGCAGGUCCCAAGGGUAUGGCUGUUCGCCAUUUAAAGCGGUACGCGAGCUGGGUUUAGAACGUCGUGAGACAGUUCGGUCCCUAUCUGCCGUGGGCGUAGGAAGGUUGAGAGGAGCUGUCCUUAGUACGAGAGGACCGGGAUGGACGUACCUCUGGUGUUCCAGUUGUCGUGCCAACGGCAUUGCUGGGUAGCCACGUACGGUCGGAAUAACCGCUGAAAGCAUCUAAGUGGGAAAUCCUCCUCGAGAUGAGCCUUCCCUGAAGGACCCAGAAAGACUAUCUGGUUGAUAGGCCGGAGGUGCAGGCCCAGCAAUGGGUACAGCUUACCGGUACUAAUCGUCCGAUCGGCUUUGC
rnacentral:rRNA from 1 species